rnacentral:lncRNA from 10 species
UAGGGAGUUCUUUUUCCUUUCCUGUUUCUGACUUUAUUAAUCUCAGGAGGUCUCUCUUCUUUUUGCUCUGCUGCUUCAAGCCUUUGGCAUCCAGUGCCUUGUACUUAAUGAAAGUUUGCAACACUCUGAGCAACUGUUCUCAGUUCUUCUGCCUUAUUUCUGGCCUCCGUUGCAACUGUUUUGACCUAGUGAAGGCCUAGACUUUCUCAGACAGAUUUCUUUUAACUCUUCUGCCCUGACUCCAGUCUUCACUGGGAUGCUGCCUUGCACUUAGGGAAGGUUCACAUGCCUCAAGGAUCUCUCUCUCUCAGAUUUCUUGACUUUCCCUCAGUCUUCAGUAUAGUCCUCCUCUGUGCCUGGUGAAGACCUGUGGUAAAGUGCUGGCAGGGCUAGGCUUACACCCAAUUUAUGGUCAUCUUGCUCAUGCUCAUCCUGCACAAUUUCUAGCAUUUGGAGAAUGUUUCUCAUGGUAGCAUCUAAUGCCUGUGGCUGCUGAGAGAAAGCAGCGAUGAGGGGAAGACACUGACCUCUGUUUGGAGCUGCCGGCUUCCCCUUGAAGGAAUAGGAGUAGACCUGCUGAACUAUCACAUGAGAGAAGAGGCCCAAAAGCUUGCACACUACAGUCAAGCUGGCCCUUAAAGAGAUGGACCUAGAAGAUGCUGAGCCAGAUGUACUCAAUUACUUCUCCAAAAUUCAUCAAUUAGAACUGCUUCUUGCUGCCGCCAUAUGAAGAAGGACGUGUUCGCUUCCCCUUCCUCCAUGAUUGUAAGUUUCCUGAGACCUCGCCAGCCAUGCUGAACUGAAUACAACAUGUUUAAGACCACAGAACAUCUGCAUAGGCUGUAAAUUUCGUUGAAUGAUGGAUGCAAAGAUGGAAGACAGAUGGAUAGAGGAAAAGACAGAAUCAGAUACUGGAUGAGUUAGUACUGCUGCCUGUGCUUCAGAGCUGUCUUAUUACCACAAGGCCGGCAAGCAUCAAUGUCCCCACAUCCCCCUCUGCCUCCCCCUGAAAUGUACCGAUUUAUAUGAAAAUUAAGAUUACAAAUUAAAGCCUGGCUAUCCUGGAGUUUUCCAGUUCAUCAGCCAUCCAAUAAAAAUGAUGUCAAGCCUGUAUGCAUAAUUCCCGGAAGAUUACUUUCGUCCUUACAGCUAAGCCCUGUCCCUGAUAUGAAAGAUCUCUAUCCACUUUUAUUGAAAUAAAGAACUAACAUCAUAAUCCCAAUAUUGAGGUAUAAUCUUCAUUAUCUCCUGACCCUCUUGAGGUUCCCCCAAUCUAUAUUACUUCAGAUUUGGUUUAUGUGUAAUCCUUAUGUAUUUACUUUUAUUGAGAUAGGAUUAAAAACUAAAAAAAAAGCUUCAA